rnacentral:rRNA from 1 species
AUUGAACGCUGGCGGCAGGCCUAACACAUGCAAGUCGAACGGUAACAGGAAGAAGCUUGCUUCUUGGCUGACGAGGGGCGGACGGGUGAGAAAUGUCGGGGAAACUGCCUUAUGGAGGGGGUAAACUACGGGAAACGGUGGCUAAUACCGCAUAAAUUUUCAAGAGCAUAGUGGGGGACUUUCGGGCCGCUUGCCUUCGGCUGUGCCCAGAUCGCAUUAGCUAGUAGGUGGGGUAACGGCUCACCUAGGCGACGAUCCGUAGCUGGUCUGAGAGGGUGAUCAGCCACACUGGAACUGAGACACGGUCCAGACUCCUACGGGAGGCAGCAGUGGGGAAUAUUGCACAAUGGGCGAAAGCCUGAUGCAGCAAUGCCGCGUGUGUGAUGAAGGCCUUCGGAUUGUAAAGUUCUUUCAGCGGGGAAGAAGAAAGGUGAGUUAAUCCCUGUGCGCAUUGACGUUACCCAAAGAGAAAGCCCCGGCUAACUACGUG